UGGUUGAACGGACUCACCAGGAAACGUGACUUUCGUGUCCGACCUCUGCUGUAUCAGGAUUCGAUUCUUGGUGUUAAACAAGACAACGCUGAAGGCUCGGUGCAGCAGCCCUGCAAAGGAGUGGAGCCCCAACCCACGCAGGGCGUGUCUUCAUGGCUUUUCCUGGCCAAUCUGAUACCAAGAUGCAGUGGCCAGAAGUACCUGCACUUCCACUCCUGUCAAGUCUCUGCAUGGCUAUGGUGAGGAAGAGCUCUGCACUGGGCAAGGAAGUUGGCCGUCGAGUGAAGGAAAUGGUGAUGCUGGUGGCCCCUUUCCGGCAGUCAAGUUCCCUAUCAAGGACAUUCAGUUCUCGGAAAGUGGUGAAGGCACAUGCUUCCCUGCAUGGUGCCCGCCUCUCUCCACUCUCUAGAAAUAUUAGAGGCUAGGCUGCUGCUGUAUGUCAGGGCUAGUCCCUCUUCUAUGAAUCCAGAAUAACUCUGAAGAAGCCGAGUAACAGGCAUGAAGUGAAGAGAAAUCGCUGUAACAGGAAGACAGCAAAGCAGAUGCUAAUGACCACACUAUUUAACGAACUGGAACCAACGAGAAAAUACGGUAUUACUGAAGACUGCACUUCCUUGAACAGAGUGCUCUUCUCAGCAAAUCGGAAAUGCCUACACAAAUCGCUUUACAAGAAAGACUGUUUCAAAGCAGCACCUUUCUCAAUGUUCUCGUUCAGGUGACAAUUCUUCUUGGUCUCAGCUCCAAUUUUAUUGUCAUUUUCAUCAAUAAGGAUACACAUCUCUGCCAGGAGUUGAACCUGUUGCUUGUCGAGGUGGUUAGUGUUUAUUUCAGGCAUCAUUACAAAAUGUCUGAUCUGUUCUAGAACACUAAUAUUAAAGGAAAAGAGAAAGAAAGGC
rnacentral:lncRNA from 10 species